AUAUUUACCCGGCAAGGGAGAUACCACGAUCACGAAGGUGGUUUUCCCAGGGUGGGCUUUACCCGUCGCCCUCCGGCUGCGCUGACUCCUGCGAUCUCCCCGGAUGUGGGAAACCUGAUCUCACAAUUGGUGGUAGUGGGCGGCCGUGUUCACUCUCUCCCCUG